rnacentral:lncRNA from 1 species
AAUAACAUUGAAAGAAGGAUUGUACCUUUUGGGUUUGGAUAACACUUCACCUACCUUCACUUCUGCUAUGCAGAACUCUGUUCCAGCUUUGACCUUUCUCAUGGCUGUCAUACUCAGGCAAGCUAUGAAGUUCUUACUUUUAAGUGCAUGUUUGAUAAUUCUUUCACUAUUGAUUCUACAGCUAAAAUUAAUUCUGAGAAUAAGCUUCCGUGAGUAGCUUUUGAGUGUCAGAGCUAUUCUGAUAAAAGAGAAGUUGGUCCAUAUAUUAAAAUAUUUGUAGAAAUGCUUGUAUAACAUUGUUCAAUUAUACAUGUGAAAUGCAGAUAUGAGAGUGUGCACUUCAAUAGGAUAGAUGGUCUGGCUAAGGUCCUUGGAGUCCUUGCUUCUGUUGGAGGAGCUUCAAUCAUUACCCUUUACAAGGGGCCUACGAUUUAUACGCCAAAUUUAGCACAGCAUCAGGAGCAAUUCUUGUCUGUGCUCCGGGAUGUCACAGCAAAAAACAUGAACAUGGGUGGCAUUUAUCUUAUUGGUCACUGCUUAUGUUGGUCUGGUUGGAUUGUGAUGCAAGCAUUUGUUCUGAAAAACUACUCAGCCCCUCUCACAGUUUCUGCGUUUACUUGCUUCUUUGGUAUUGUGCAGUUUAUAACAAUUGCAGCCUUUUUCGAGAAGGAUCCCAAAUCCUGGCAACUCAAUUCUAGUCAAGAGAUCUACAGCAUUUUGUAUUCGGUUUGUAAAUCAAACUUAGUUGGGUUAUUCACUAGCAUGUUGCUCUCUAUGUUCACAACUAAUAUCAGUUUUCUCUAUGAGCUGCUUCUACCUCCUUACUUAAUUUAGUGAUCAUAAUUGAUUACCUUGACAUCAAUAAAACUCAUUUUAACUGUUCGGAUCUAUUAUGUAACUAGUUUUCAUGUUACAAAUUACAUGUUUAAGGAAGCCAAGUAUAACAAAUAUGAUGAUAACAAAAUAGACUUGUUUGUAUCAGGGUCUGGUGUUUUCAGGGCUGGCAGCAGCAUUACAGAUAUGGGCUAUUGGCAAGGGAGGGCCAGUGCUUGCUUCAAUUUAUCUUCCUUUACAGACAUUACUUGUAGCCUUGAUGUCAUCCAUUGUUUUUGGAGAAGAUUUCUUCUUGGGAGGGUGGGAUGUCUUGAUUCAAGCUGCUUCAAUUUCUUUUUGUUAUCUUAAAACUUUUCUAAUUGCAAAAUAUGCUUCCCCCUAGAGGGAGUUCUAAACUAAAAGUUGGAUUAUCUGAGAUUUGUUUAUUAGUUAUCCAAAGUGCCUUUGACUUAUGCUAUAUAAAUCUAAAUAUUUUCAAUUUUGAGGUGCAGGAUUAUUGGAGCUUUCUUAAUUAUGACGGGCUUAUACCUUGUUGUGUGGGGAAGAACUCAAGAAACCAAGUCUGCCAAAGAGUACAUGAAAGUCCCCAUUGAGUCUGAGAAUCACCCGGAAGCAAAAAUUGGGAGUGGUUCUCUCAUGCAACAAUUGAUUCCUACACAAAAUGUUUAGAUGAUAGAGCUGAAGAAUUUAUAUGAUAGUAAAACUGUAAAAGUCCUUUAAGGGGGACCAACUAAUGCAACAUUUAUUUGUUGCAGCAACGUUAUAUGAUUUGUUUCACUAAUUCUUGCAUCCCUCUACUAUUUUUUUUUGGUCAAUAAUUUGUAAUUUAUACUUAAUUUUUUUAUAAUUAAACAACUUGUAGAAAAAUAUUAUUGUAUUUUUAUUCUUUCACACCUCACUUAUACUUUUAUUUCAUAUCUACCCAUUGUAAUAUUUAUCACUCUUUUGCUCUUAUUUCUCUUUUCGGGUGUGGGUGUAAUGAUUGUGAAUAAGUAUUAUUGUGAAAAAAGAAAGAAUAAGAGGGGCUUGGUUUUUUUGGUAAACCCAUGGUUACAAAACGAUAACCCCUUACCACAACAUGUGUUCAUUUCCAUAAAUAAGGAUAAAUUCUCAAACAUCAUACUUAAAGAACGAAGUGAGCUAACCACUACUCACACACUUUAUCUUUAAUGAAGGGCUUGGUAAGCCACUAAGGUAAAUGAAGACAGCAAGGAAUAUUAACAGAGCAACACUAAAUGACAUUCAAAUUAAGAUUUUAGUAAUCGUUGACAAAAAUAAGUACAUUCAGGCAUCUUUGAAGGAAACAUCAUUUUUCUGAAUGAAUCAAAAUCCAGUAACAUAACAUGGUUGGUUAACCAAUCAAAUAUUCAAAAUAAACUUUGAAGGCUUUGCCUCGAGGAGAUUAGUAUAAUGACCAUCGGCUUUGGGAUAACUAGGGGAAAAAAACUGUAUAAUUAUAAUUAGUUGGUUACAGGCGUGUUGGUCCAAAUUGGUGUUCUAUGGGAAAACAUGGAUUGAUUUUUAUUAAUAUUUUGACAGUAAACAUGGAGUGAUUGAGCUAUUGCAACAUGUCAGGCUUUGACUUCAAAUGCCCUUCCUUCACUUUGGGGUGAAAUGGAGUGGAUGAAAGAUUGGAUUGAGGAGUGUAGCUAAUAUUCAAUGGCGCAUCACAAUCACAUGCACGCAAGCAAUCCAAUUACUAACAGUAGAUUAUUAGAGUGUCCAUUAACACUUUUUACCAUGAAGCGACAGAAAUUAUUUAUAGAUUACUAAUAAACACGUUGCACUUUGUUUUCUUUUGUCACCACUUACAAGAAGGUAGAACUAAACAAGAUUGCAAUUAUUAUAGAUCUCUUAUCUUCCACUUCCAGACAGUUUUUGCCUCUUGCCCCUGGUCAACCAGUUCUAAACAUUGAUCUCCGAGUACCUGCUUCUCUUUUUGGCAUUGAACCAUCAGUAUUCACUAUUCAGUACCUGGGAACAAGAGAAUAUGGUAGCUGAACGAGCUAAGCUGCACUUAGCUUUAACGUUUUUGCAAUUUUGUUAUGCAGGAAACCACAUAUUUGUGAGGAUUGCACUUGAUUCAGGCGUCAGCAAGCUUGUAUUUCCUGUCUAUAGAAACAUCACUGCUCUUCUUCUUCUGGGUCCCUUAGCUUAUUUUUCAGAGAAGUAUGCACUUCAGUUCUAUACCAUAUAUAAAUGAAUUCUGUCAUGUUCCCAGUUUCAGCUAUCUUACCUUUUUCUUUUUCUUUUUUGGAUCUUAUUGUUUGCCUCUUUGCAAGGAAAGACAGGCCAUCAAUAACCAGAUAUUGUCUUGUCCAAUUUUUCCUUCUAGGACUUGUUGGGUAUGUAUGAUCUUUCCAUGAAGCUACUCCACUGUAUCAAUUAAUUGGCAAUGUUUGUGUAACUUAAAAAGUAUUAAUUUUGAUUCUUGCAGAAUAACAUUGAAAGAAGGGUUCCAUCUUUGAAGGAAACAUCAUUUUUCUGAAUGAAUCAAAAUCCAGUAACAUAACAUGGUUGGUUAACCAAUCAAAUAUUCAAAAUAAACUUUGAAGGCUUUGCCUCGAGGAGAUUAGUAUAAUGACCAUCGGCUUUGGGAUAACUAGGGGAAAAAAACUGUAUAAUUAUAAUUAGUUGGUUACAGGCGUGUUGGUCCAAAUUGGUGUUCUAUGGGAAAACAUGGAUUGAUUUUUAUUAAUAUUUUGACAGUAAACAUGGAGUGAUUGAGCUAUUGCAACAUGUCAGGCUUUGACUUCAAAUGCCCUUCCUUCACUUUGGGGUGAAAUGGAGUGGAUGAAAGAUUGGAUUGAGGAGUGUAGCUAAUAUUCAAUGGCGCAUCACAAUCACAUGCACGCAAGCAAUCCAAUUACUAACAGUAGAUUAUUAGAGUGUCCAUUAACACUUUUUACCAUGAAGCGACAGAAAUUAUUUAUAGAUUACUAAUAAACACGUUGCACUUUGUUUUCUUUUGUCACCACUUACAAGAAGGUAGAACUAAACAAGAUUGCAAUUAUUAUAGAUCUCUUAUCUUCCACUUCCAGACAGUUUUUGCCUCUUGCCCCUGGUCAACCAGUUCUAAACAUUGAUCUCCGAGUACCUGCUUCUCUUUUUGGCAUUGAACCAUCAGUAUUCACUAUUCAGUACCUGGGAACAAGAGAAUAUGGUAGCUGAACGAGCUAAGCUGCACUUAGCUUUAACGUUUUUGCAAUUUUGUUAUGCAGGAAACCACAUAUUUGUGAGGAUUGCACUUGAUUCAGGCGUCAGCAAGCUUGUAUUUCCUGUCUAUAGAAACAUCACUGCUCUUCUUCUUCUGGGUCCCUUAGCUUAUUUUUCAGAGAAGUAUGCACUUCAGUUCUAUACCAUAUAUAAAUGAAUUCUGUCAUGUUCCCAGUUUCAGCUAUCUUACCUUUUUCUUUUUCUUUUUUGGAUCUUAUUGUUUGCCUCUUUGCAAGGAAAGACAGGCCAUCAAUAACCAGAUAUUGUCUUGUCCAAUUUUUCCUUCUAGGACUUGUUGGGUAUGUAUGAUCUUUCCAUGAAGCUACUCCACUGUAUCAAUUAAUUGGCAAUGUUUGUGUAACUUAAAAAGUAUUAAUUUUGAUUCUUGCAGAAUAACAUUGAAAGAAGGGUUCUACCUUUUGGGUUUGGAUAACACUUCACCUACCUUUGCUGCUGCUAUGCAGAACUCUGUUCCAGCUCUGACCUUUCUCAUGGCUGUAGUACUCAGGCAAGCUAUAAAGUUCUUACUUUAAAUCCAUGUUUCAAAGCUCUUCUAUAAUUGAUUCCAAAGCUAAAAUUAAUUCUGAGUAUAAGUUUUUGUGAGUAGCUUACGAGUGUCAGAAUUAUUCUCGAAAAAAAAAAAGUUGGUCCAGUAAGACGCUUACAAAGUAUAUGUAGAAAUACUUAUAUGACAUUGAUCAAUU